UGCCUGCAAAUUUCAGGAUGACUUAAUGUUU
rnacentral:piRNA from 1 species